rnacentral:lncRNA from 1 species
GUGGAAUACUCCAUAACUCUGAGAAUAUGCCCAUUUACCAUGAGAAUCUGUACAUUCAUCUAGGUAUCCUGAGAAUCUGCUAAUUGAUUCUCAGAAUCUGGUGGUUGAUCCCUAAAAAUAUGCACUGUCCCUAUAAGAAUCUGCCCAGGCCCAGAGGAGGCGGGCUGAAAGCUAGCCGGAUAGGAGGCAUGUGUGGGUGUGGUGGGUGUAGGUGUCAUAAGUGGGUGUGUCAAUUAGAGUAAGGGAUGGGUGUGGUCCUUUAUAUACCAGUCAUUUUGUCUCCCUUACCUCAGCCAUCUUAGAUUUAACGGCGUGGUAACAUCUCUGCAUCCUCCUGUGCUUACCACUGCUUGUCAAACGGCCAAGGGUAUGGAUAUUGAUGCAAUCCUCGCUGCCCUCCGGGCUGAGGCCCUUCAAGAUGGUGGACGGCACCUGCAGUCACAGUUAGUACGCCUGCAGGGUGCUCCUAGUGUGGCUGCUCCCUCUAAUGGCAGCCCUGGGAACCAGGGUGCUGAUCUUGUGGCUGCUCCCUCUAAUGGCGGCCAUGGGAAUCAGCGCCGUCGCGCACGUCCCCCUGCCCGGUAUAGCCCCUCACGGGAGGGUCGGGUGAGGGAGAGGAGUAGGAGCCCUGUUGCAGGCCCGCGCGCCGGUUCCUCCGGGCCGCGGCCAGCACCUCCUCCCGUGUGUCCACACGCCGGAUUGCCGCCGGUCAUGCCGCAUCGCGGCUACCACCCCCCCCGGUCUCGCGGGCUCGGCGGAGGUCGGCCGCGAGAACACAGCACCUCACCGCACAGCGGGCGCUAAUCACCAGGUCGGCCUUGGCGGGAUCAACGGCUGUGCAAGGGCGGGGGGCCCGCUCUCCCGGUCGGGUAAGUAGGCCGCUGGUCGGCCGGGCUGUCUCCAGGGGGAUGGGGGGUUCUGGGGCACUGGGCAGGGAGUAUGCUUCCCCUAACUUACCUCUCAGGCCUCCCCCUGCUCUCCCUCCACACUCUGUCUCCCCUGGAGCUGCUCCUGCGCCUGCUCCACUGUCUGUUGGUCCUGUCCCUGUGGCAGCUGGGUCACACUCUGCCCCUCCACUUCUCCCUUCCUCCUCAGCUGCCCCCAUCAUGGCUGGGGCCCUUUCAGGGUCUCCUGGGCCUGCCCCUCUCAAUUUCCCUGCCUUGCCCGCUGACCCACUCAUAGCUGGUGCCCAGCUUGCCCCCCCUGGCCCACUUCAGACCACGUUGCCCCCCAGUCAUCCUGCCACUCUUACAGCAGGGGCCCAUUUUUCCCCCACAGGGCCCUCCCCUACCGGUUUCGUUUCUACUGGGGUGGGUGGGCCGGGGUCCAUCUCACCUGUGUUGUCUUCGCAGAUUACUCCUGGUAGGCUCUCGGUUCGUUUUGCUGACGUUGCGGCUGGUGCAGAUCCUCCUGCAGUCACUGUUCCAGCUGGGCCACCACAGUCUAGCGGCCAAGUUGUGGCUCCACAGAUGGCUUCACCUUCGGUUCCCGCCAGUGAGUAUAUUAAUUUACAGGGUUUGGGGCCGGGGUGUGUUAGCGCAGUCAUGCCAGAAUGGGAUUCGUUGCUGCAAACUAUGCGACAGGUUUUGCAUUCUUUGGAAAAGGGCCCCCCCUCUGGGGCCCCCCUCACCUCGACUUUAGAUAACCAACUUAGAACGGGUUGGGCGACUAGCGGAGGGUCAGGUGUCCCGACUUCUACUUCGGCUGUCUCAGGGGGGCCUACUGCCCUCCUAGAAUCUUUGCCUGCCGCAGGAGAGCUCGGAACCCCCGUGGGGUCAACAGUGACCCCCACUGCGGUUCACGACUUGGGGGUUGCACCCGCUGCGCACGGGGCGGCUUACAUGUGUUGGUCAGGCCCCUUGGGCCUCCAUUUGACAGCUGAAUUGCGGGCCAAGAUAGAAAAAGGGGAAUUUGUCGAAAUAUUUUCCCUUCUCCCUAUGGAAGACUUGCCUCGGGUUGAUCCUGCAGCAAAGGAGUCAGAAAAGGAAAAAGAGAAGUUUCGGUAUCGGAAGAUACCGAAAACUUUUGGGAAUUGGAUCAGGGCCUUUUCUAUCCUGGCUAGCGUUAUAGGGGAAAAGACUCCCAACAAAUGCUCUUCUCUAUUUUGCUACCAGGAUAUGAUCUGGAACGCGUGUCGGGUUUAUGGCGGGUUAGGCUGGUGGCGGUAUGAUGAACAAUUCCGCCAGCGCCUAGCGGUGCGCCCUUCCCUGAGUUGGGAUCAAAUGGAUAUCGGCUUGUGGUUGGCCAUCAUGACCCGUCCCGCUUCACAUCAGGGGGGCCUGUCGUCCUUUCUUGGGGGGGCCGGCGCAGGGUCCUCACCCUCCGCGUCGGCCACUCAGCGUAGAACAGGUUGCUGUUGGCAAUUUAACGACGGCCAGUGUAAAUUCGGAGCAAAUUGUCGCUUCAAGCACGAAUGCUCCGGUUGCGGCGGGUCCCACCCCGCUUCUAAGUGUUUUAAGCGGGGUAAGUUUGGCGACAAAGGGGAUGCCAUGGGCGCUAAGGGCGAAGACGCCGGUGGACGUCGUCGCGAUGCGUCCGUGGCUAAAACGUUAUAGGAACAAAAAGGCGGCUGCCUUGCUCCUGGAAGGGUUUACUCAUGGUUUUUGGAUUCCCCAUCGGGCUCGUUCGCCCUCAGGGUCGUGUCGGAACCUGCGUUCCGUUGCUGAACACCCAGGGGUAGUAAAAGACAAGCUGGCUAAGGAAGUGGCAUUGGGCCGCAUGGCCGGCCCUUUUCGUGAACCCCCCCUUCCUGACCUUCGAAUAUCGCCACUAGGCGUCGUUCCCAAGAGAGAGCACGGAAAAUUUCGGCUAAUUCAUCAUCUCUCGCACCCCCAAGGGGGUUCCGUGAAUGAUGACAUUGCGGCGGAGCUAUGCCGGGUUUCAUACGCCUCGUUUGAUACUGCGGUUGGUAUGGUUAGGGCCGCGGGCCCCGGUGCACUGAUGGCAAAAACCGACAUUGAGUCGGCUUUUCGCCUCCUGCCGGUUCACCCGGAGUGUCAUCAUCUGCUCGGAUGUUCCUUUGAAGGGCAAUUUUACGUGGAUAUGUGCCUCCCGAUGGGUUGUGCAAUAUCCUGUUUUUAUUUUGAAUGUUUUAGCUCCUUCAUGGAAUGGGUAGUGAGAACUGAGUCUGGCUAUGACUCAGUGCUUCACUAUUUGGAUGAUUUUCUUUGUGUGGGUCCCGCGAACUCCCCGGUAUGCGCGCACAUUUUGCAAUCGGUAGCCGACGUGGCCUGUGGGUUCGGCGUGCCUCUGGCGCCCGAUAAGACGGUUGGCCCUUCCCCGUGCUUGUGUUUUCUUGGAAUUGAGAUCGAUUCGGUUAUUGGGGAAUGUCGCCUCCCGCCGGAUAAGUUGGAGGAUCUGCGGGGGGCUGUGCGGGAGGCGAUCUCCCUCCGGAAGAUUACUUUACAACGGCUUCAAUCCCUUCUUGGCAAGUUGAAUUUUGCAUGUCGGAUUAUGCCUAUGGGUCGGGUGUUUAACCGGCGCCUAGCGGCCGCCACGGCAGGAAUUGUAAAAUCAUUUCAUUUUAUCCGCUUAACCAAAGUGCUCAAGGAGGACUUGGCAGUAUGGAUGGUUUUCUUAGAUGGGUACAAUGGCAGGUCCUAUUGGCAACAACCAGAGGUGUCGAAUUCUGUGCUACACCUGUUUACUGAUGCGGCAGGUGCAUCAGGAUUCGGGGCUAUCUUAGGGACGCAAUGGUGCGCGGAACCUUGGCCUGCGGCUUGGAUUGCUGCUGGCCUUACCAAAAAUAUGGCCCUCCUUGAGCUCUUCCCCAUCGUGGUGGCAGUUCAUUUGUGGGGAAUGGAGUUCAGGGACCGGCGCGUCGUCUUCCAUUGCGAUAACUUGGGGGUGGUGCAGGCCAUUAAUAAUCUAACGGCCUCCUCCCCUCCGGUGGUCAGGCUCUUGCGGCGUCUGGUCUUACGAUGCUUGUCAUUGAAUGUUUCAUGCCGCGCUGUGCACAUUCCAGGUGUUGUGAAUACCACAGCUGACGCUCUCUCUCGUUUCCAAUGGCAGGUAUUUCGAUCGGCUGCUCCGGAAGCGGAUCUGGAAGGUCUCUCCUGUCCCGCGGAACUCUGGUCCCUUGGCCUGAGCGAAUAAGGGAGUGGAUACGGUCGUCGGUAUCAGAGGCAACAUGGGUCCGGUAUGGUAAGGCAUGGGGUGAUUGGGUCGCACUGGAGCAGGAUUGCGGUGGGUUCGGCUCCUCUGACGAGAGGGUCCAGGGUCUGUUACGGUUGCUCUGGUUCUGGGAGGCUAGCGGGUGUUCCCCAGCUACGGUGUCAGGGAAGCUCUCAGGCCUUAGUUUCUGGUUCAAUUUAACCCAAGUACCCGAUGUGACGAAACACUGCAUGGUGAGGCUUGCGAUGCGCGGUUGGCGGAAAGGCCCGAUGGUGCGGGAUACUCGGAGGCCGGUUUCGGGCGCGCUCCUGUUAGGGAUCGCCUCGGUUCUCCCCCAGGUCUGUUUUUCAACUCCGGAGGCUAGAUUGUUUUUGGUUGCGUUUACUUUCGCCUUUUUUGGGGCUCUUCGGGUCGGAGAACUGGUCAGCCCUAGCAGGGGGACCCCUGGGGGGCUUUUAUUUCAGGACGUGUUUGUCACGAGUACUACGGUGCAAUUUUUGUUGCGCCGGUCCAAGACCGACGUUUUUGGCAGGGGUAAGUGGGUUACCCUUCGUGCCAUUCCGGAUUCGGCAGUUUGCCCCGUCUCGGCAUACCUAUCUUACAGUUCUGGGCGACCAGGUUUCUCCGGCCCGCUGUUAAUUCAUGAAAAUGGUGCUUACUUAUCUCGAUUUCAAUUUCUCAGGGUAUUUCGCCUGGCCCUUGAUCGGCUGGGAAUCCCGAGCAAGGAGUUUGGGGGUCAUUCCUUCCGCAUUGGGGCCGCAACCGAAGCCUCUCGGUUGGGUUUCUCUGAUCAGGCUAUUCAGAGGAUUGGCAGAUGGGAAUCUGGGAGGUUUCGGUCCUACGUACGGCCCACGCGGCUAAUCGGUUCCCCUCUUGUGUUUUCUCCACAGGGCCCGGCCGUAGGAUCUGGCUGAUUGGGCAUUCAUACAUCUAUUGGGCCCAUCUGCGGGCUGGGGUACGCCCGGGUGGGACACGCCUUGGAAUUCCUCGGGAGCUGGCGGAGGUCCGAUGGUUUGGUUUCCGGGGCAUGAGAUGGGGCCAGCUCUUGCCGGAGGUUGUACAGCUGGCCACUUUCCUAGGGGCGCCUGAUGUAUUGGUGAUCCACUUGGGUGGCAAUGAUCUGGGGGUGCUGCCUGCUUGGGGUUUGGGUGAAAUGAUUAGAAGGGAUUUAGCGCGCUUGCGAGUUUUGUUCCCGCAGCUUUGUUUAGUUUGGUCUGGGAUAGUGUCCAGGAACUAUUGGGGGCGCGCGCGCGAUCAGGGGGCUAUUGAACGAUGCAGGGUAAAAAUUAAUAAAAGAGUGUCAAAAUUUGUGCUCGGCGUUGGUGGCAUUUCGGUGCGCCACCGAAUAUUUGAACGUGACGCGGCGAUAUAUUUUCGCCCGGACGGGGUCCACCUGACCGAUGUGGGGUUGGAUUUCUUCAACCUAGCUCUGCAGGAUGCGCUGGAACAGGCCAUGGCAUUGGUGGGGGGUCGCGCCUGCUGAUUUAGGCUUAAAUGCAGCUGGCGCUAGUGGCAGGUAUGGUCCUUGCCGAACCAGUGGAAAAGGAGUGCAUUGGACGAAGGAAUGCUGGGUCUGGUCCCUCCCCUAACCUCGGGCAAUGGUUUGGUAUUUGGGCGUGCCCUCCGUGCCAGGAAAAGCGGCCAGGGGUUGGCAUGGGGAAUUGGAGGGCCAAGGUGAAGGCCAAUUAGCUUGGACGAGGGGGGAGGGCAGGUGCCCUGGAAAGAGGUACUCAAAAGGUUAUUAUGGUCCGGUUGGCAAGGACGGGUUUUGAGCUAAAAAUAUACGCUCAUAUUAAACAUAAUUGAAUUGGUUUUACUUAUUAUAUAUAUAAAUAAAGCUGUGGCCUGUUUAUACCACAUUUAUGUCUCUGUUUUAAUUGGGGAUGGGGUAAGGUGGGGGCGGGGUGGGUGGAGCAGUUUUGGUGAUCAUAAGGGGCACCACACGUUAACCACUACCUGCACACAAGGCCCAGAGGAGGCGGGCUGAAAGCUAGCCGGAUAGGAGGCAUGUGUGGGUGUGGUGGGUGUAGGUGUCAUAAGUGGGUGUGUCAAUUAGAGUAAGGGAUGGGUGUGGUCCUUUAUAUACCAGUCAUUUUGUCUCCCUUACCUCAGCCAUCUUAGAUUUAACGGCGUGGUAACAUCUCCCUCCCUCCCUUUGUUGAUACUUUGGUAUCCGUUUCCGUCUUACUAAUUUAUUUCUUUUGUCACAGCUGGCGGGUAUGGUCCUUGCCGAACCAGUGGAAAAGGAGUGCAUUGGACGAAGGAAUGCUGGGUCUGGUCCCUCCCCUAACCUCGGGCAAUGGUUUGGUAUUUGGGCGUGCCCUCCGUGCCAGGAAAAGCGGCCAGGGGUUGGCAUGGGGAAUUGGAGGGCCAAGGUGAAGGCCAAUUAGCUUGGACGAGGGGGGAGGGCAGGUGCCCUGGAAAGAGGUACUCAAAAGGUUAUUAUGGUCCGGUUGGCAAGGACGGGUUUUGAGCUAAAAAUAUACGCUCAUAUUAAACAUAAUUGAAUUGGUUUUACUUAUUAUAUAUAUAAAUAAAGCUGUGGCCUGUUUAUACCACAUUUAUGUCUCUGUUUUAAUUGGGGAUGGGGUAAGGUGGGGGCGGGGUGGGUGGAGCAGUUUUGGUAAUCAUAAGGGGCACCACACGUUAACCACUACCUGCACACAAGUCCUUCUCAUACAGCAUCCAUUCACUCCAGACCCCUGAGAAUUUAAAUGUGUCCAUUUUUCAUCCAAGUUUAGUGACAUCCUGUGUCUCCCCUGUGUCAUUUGAGUUUAGUGAUUGAAACCCAAACCAGGUAGUUGAGCAUGAAAAAACGAAACUGCAACAUUUCAGCUAGAACAGACACCCUAACAUUUCAGCUAAAACAGACACCCUCUG